rnacentral:rRNA from 1 species
AAGAGACAGCAGUAGCCGCGGUAAUACGUAGGUGGCAAGCGUUGUCCGGAAUUAUUGGGCGUAAAGGGCUCGCAGGCGGUUUCUUAAGUCUGAUGUGAAAGCCCCCGGCUCAACCGGGGAGGGUCAUUGGAAACUGGGAAACUUGAGUGCAGAAGAGGAGAGUGGAAUUCCACGUGUAGCGGUGAAAUGCGUAGAGAUGUGGAGGAACACCAGUGGCGAAGGCGACUCUCUGGUCUGUAACUGACGCUGAGGAGCGAAAGCGUGGGGAGCGAACAGGAUUAGAUACCCGAGUAGUCCCUGUCUCUUAUAC